rnacentral:sRNA from 2 species
ACACAACAAACGCAAUUCAGGGACGAGGGCGGGGGACCCAAACAUCUCCUGGAGAUCACCGGGCUGCCGACGAUCGAAAGCGACACGCUUUCAUCCGACGGAGUCCUUGGGGUGUAGUUCCACUGGAACCGAGCAACCUCUCGCUCGAACCCGACAGCUGACUUCGUAGGCGCGUGGAGAGAGGAAGC